ensembl:lncRNA
CAAAUUACACCACCUAGUGGAGUAGGCAGCUUUGCAUAUAUCUAUACAGUUCGCGAUGUAUUGAAACGGGGAGUAAUUUCUCAAAUAUUCUAGGACUUUGCUAAUUAUUUCCUUUGCAGCAGUACUGCCACGUUGCAUGUUUCUUCCUGGGCAUUAAAUGAUUUCAGCUCCUAGAGGCCAUGUCUCUUAAGGGGAGCCUGAACGCUGGGAUAGGUGCAGGUCUCAGCCCAUAACCUGAGAAUAACUGGAGCCUACAGAAGGGAUCCUCAGAGGCCAGCUCAACUAGCCAGGGGUAAAGCAAGUGAUGGAAACAAAAGAUUUUCUUCCAAUUAGUUUUUCUGCUUUAAUUCUCUCCUGGAGUUAAGUGCCUGAGCUUAUGUUUGCCUUAAAAGGUACUGUUGCCUAAUAGGAGUGUUUCCUUUAACAAGAAAGUUGGUUCUGAGGGACUGAUUCCACUGCAGCAGGUCCUGUUUGCAGUUGCAGGACACUAAAUGUACCCUUGAAGUGAACCCACAGUCUGCACUGCAUCUGAAAGACCACUCUCCAAGAGCACUCUACAACCUGAAUGAAAGCGCAGUAAGUGGGAAUGAUCAUAAGAGGUGUGCUUCUGAUUCUAACUAAAAUGAAGGUGCGCCCUGAGGCCACUGUUAAUUGAUUUAGACUGGGGAACUGAGUGCUGUCUCAUCAUUUCUAUUGUUUUUCACUUGACAACUUGAAGAGAGAACUGGGGGAGAUGGCAGUGUGUGAACAUAUUGCUAGUGAAAGUGAUGUUGAACUUAAGUUGCCUGAAGACAGUAGUAGGUAAUGAGGUACUUGUGGUUCCCUGUGAUGCAUUUUCUGUGUGGGCAAUUGAUGAACACACAGAAUCUUUAAGGAUGAGUUUCUAGUUUAGCAGUCGUGUAAGUUCUCUUCGUGGAAGCGGACAUUUCAAGAGAGUGAGUCGUCACAUUUGUCUAAGAAUAAAACCACUGGGAAAUCCCUGAUGCACAAUGAGGAGGAACUAUACCGAUGUCCAUGAAGAAAGGGACUGUAAAUUCUUUUAUAAGACUAGCAGCUCUCUUUCCUUACUUUCCAAAAACUGGAGGGAGACUGUUUUGGUUUUUUGUCUGCUUAGUGCUACAGCUUUCAGGAAAACAAAACAAAAUAAAAAACCAAAGAAAGCCACAAAAACUAUUGCUGUAAUUUCACUUGUCAUCUGUCAGCUCCAGCUUUCUUGUUCUGAUGGAGGAAAAUCCUACCUAGGAAUUCUGCCCAGUUUUGUUAGUCACUGGUAACAUGAAUGUUGUUUUCAUAUUGGUAUGAAAUAUCAUAGCUGCAGAAAUUCAAAGAAAACACAUGGACAAAAAAUUAGCCCAAAAUGUUAACCAUCACACAUUUAAUUAGUUUUUGAUAGCUAGGGGAAUGGCAAAGGCAGUUUACUAAAUGAACAAUUCCAAUGUUACUGGACAACUUGCAUCAGAUCCUGUGAACAAGCAGUUUGUGUUUCUCAGAGCUGCCCUUGCAGGUGUUGGGAGUCACCAACAGGAUGGAACAUGUAGAAGGUGGCUCGCUGAAAUCACAAUGAAGGAACUGCUUAAAAGCAAGGAUAUUGAAAGUAAAACCAGUGAAAAUAUGGCAAUCCGCAGUCCAAAGCACUCAGUGAAGCAGUGGGAGGAGCACUGAUGAUGUUAAAUACGUGCUUAUAAAUGUGGCCAAAUUACAGAUUUUCACAUGCAACUUACAUUGCAUUCAAUGGUAGACCUAUAUUUAAAGAGUGCUGGAAAAAAUCCAUCUAUUAUCUGUAUUUCCGUCUAGUGAUCUGAAUUAGCUGUUAAAUGUGUUGCAGAUUAUUGCUGAAAUAUUCCUUCAUCAUGUCUUCUUAAUGUGCAGUGGGUAAAAGAAAAUGAGCGCACAAUGUUCUCAUACCCC